GAAGUGGUUGUAGCGUUGCAAAUGUUUCCCUGAAGACUAAAGUUCAUGACUCAGUAGUGAAGUCUUUGAGUACAGAAUUUAUGCAGAAAGAGAGAUAGAGAAGGACAUUUAUUGGAGAGUAAAUGACAUAUGCAAAGAUAUAAGAAUGAGAAAAAUUAACACAUAUUCUUGAAAAAGUAGUUAAGUAGAGGAAGGGAAGUGUUCAGUGAAGAAAUAGAUUUUAUAUGGGACUGGAAUGGCAGCCAAUGCCAGAUUACACCAGGCCUCACAUGCUAAGCUAAGGAACUCAUUGAAUAAUAAUUAGUAGUACUGACAUUGUCUAAUUUGUAUAUUUUUAAAAAAUCACUAGAAUAGC
rnacentral:lncRNA from 1 species